GGUGAAAAGCACCCCGGAAGGGGAGUGAAAUAGAACCUGAAACCGUGUGCUUACAAGUAGUCAGAGCCCGUUAAUGGGUGAUGGCGUGCCUUUUGUAGAAUGAACCGGCGAGUUACGAUUUGAUGCAAGGUUAAGCAGUAAAUGUGGAGCCGUAGCGAAAGCGAGUCUGAAUAGGGCGUUUAGUAUUUGGUCGUAGACCCGAAACCAGGUGAUCUACCCUUGGUCAGGUUGAAGUUCAGGUAACACUGAAUGGAGGACCGAACCGACUUACGUUGAAAAGUGAGCGGAUGAACUGAGGGUAGCGGAGAAAUUCCAAUCGAACCUGGAGAUAGCUGGUUCUCUCCGAAAUAGCUUUAGGGCUAGCCUCAAGUGAUGAUUAUUGGAGGUAGAGCACUGUUUGGACGAGGGGCCCCUCUCGGGUUACCGAAUUCAGACAAACUCCGAAUGCCAAUUAAUUUAACUUGGGAGUCAGAACAUGGGUGAUAAGGUCCGUGUUCGAAAGGGAAACAGCCCAGACCACCAGCUAAGGUCCCAAAAUAUAUGUUAAGUGGAAAAGGAUGUGGCGUUGCCCAGACAACUAGGAUGUUGGCUUAGAAGCAGCCAUCAUUUAAAGAGUGCGUAAUAGCUCACUAGUCGAGUGACACUGCGCCGAAAAUGUACCGGGGCUAAACAUAUUACCGAAGCUGUGGAUUGUCCUUUGGACAAUGGUAGGAGAGCGUUCUAAGGGCGUUGAAGCAUGAUCGUAAGGACAUGUGGAGCGCUUAGAAGUGAGAAUGCCGGUGUGAGUAGCGAAAGACGGGUGAGAAUCCCGUCCACCGAUUGACUAAGGUUUCCAGAGGAAGGCUCGUCCGCUCUGGGUUAGUCGGGUCCUAAGCUGAGGCCGACAGGCGUAGGCGAUGGAUAACAGGUUGAUAUUCCUGUACCACCUAUAAUCGUUUUAAUCGAUGGGGGGACGCAGUAGGAUAGGCGAAGCGUGCGAUUGGAUUGCACGUCUAAGCAGUAAGGCUGAGUAUUAGGCAAAUCCGGUACUCAUUAAGGCUGAGCUGUGAUGGGGAGAAGACAUUGUGUCUUCGAGUCGUUGAUUUCACACUGCCGAGAAAAGCCUCUAGAUAGAAAAUAGGUGCCCGUACCGCAAACCGACACAGGUAGUCAAGAUGAGAAUUCUAAGGUGAGCGAGCGAACUCUCGUUAAGGAACUCGGCAAAAUGACCCCGUAACUUCGGGAGAAGGGGUGCUCUUUAGGGUUAACGCCCAGAAGAGCCGCAGUGAAUAGGCCCAAGCGACUGUUUAUCAAAAACACAGGUCUCUGCUAAACCGUAAGGUGAUGUAUAGGGGCUGACGCCUGCCCGGUGCUGGAAGGUUAAGAGGAGUGGUUAGCUUCUGCGAAGCUACGAAUCGAAGCCCCAGUAAACGGCGGCCGUAACUAUAACGGUCCUAAGGUAGCGAAAUUCCUUGUCGGGUAAGUUCCGACCCGCACGAAAGGCGUAACGAUUUGGGCACUGUCUCAACGAGAGACUCGGUGAAAUCAUAGUACCUGUGAAGAUGCAGGUUACCCGCGACAGGACGGAAAGACCCCGUGGAGCUUUACUGUAGCCUGAUAUUGAAAUUCGGCACAGCUUGUACAGGAUAGGUAGGAGCCUUUGAAACGUGAGCGCUAGCUUACGUGGAGGCGCUGGUGGGAUACUACCCUAGCUGUGUUGGCUUUCUAACCCGCACCACUUAUCGUGGUGGGAGACAGUGUCAGGCGGGCAGUUUGACUGGGGCGGUCGCCUCCUAAAAGGUAACGGAGGCGCUCAAAGGUUCCCUCAGAAUGGUUGGAAAUCAUUCAUAGAGUGUAAAGGCAUAAGGGAGCUUGACUGCGAGACCUACAAGUCGAGCAGGGUCGAAAGACGGACUUAGUGAUCCGGUGGUUCCGCAUGGAAGGGCCAUCGCUCAACGGAUAAAAGCUACCCCGGGGAUAACAGGCUUAUCUCCCCCAAGAGUUCACAUCGACGGGGAGGUUUGGCACCUCGAUGUCGGCUCAUCGCAUCCUGGGGCUGUAGUCGGUCCCAAGGGUUGGGCUGUUCGCCCAUUAAAGCGGUACGCGAGCUGGGUUCAGAACGUCGUGAGACAGUUCGGUCCCUAUCCGUCGUGGGCGUAGGAAAUUUGAGAGGAGCUGUCCUUAGUACGAGAGGACCGGGAUGGACAUACCUCUGGUGUACCAGUUGUCGUGCCAACGGCAUAGCUGGGUAG
rnacentral:rRNA from 1 species